rnacentral:lncRNA from 1 species
UUAUCUUUUCGCCUUCUUAUGUCUAAUUUGGCUGAUUAAAUAUUGAUUCUAACUCUGUUUUACAUAUUAAUAUGCUUUAUUAAUGAGAAUAACGCGUUUUUGUUACAUGAAGCUCACAGAACUCGCUAAUACAAGAGUCUCAAACAAGGUAGCAAAGAAUUAAUGCAUGAUUCUAACAUUCAUGAUAGGAGAGAGACCAGCCUUGGUAUAUCCACAAACACAUAAGCUUUUAUUAAAACCAAACAUGACAUACACACAUCUAGAGUACAACUCUUUUCUAUAUCACUCACAUAUAUUGGGCUACGCUCCUUGUUUAUUGUAUCAUACACAAGAACAUGCGUGCUUCAUAACUGACAUAUACACAUUAUUGGAUAGAUACUCAAUUAAAGAGUACUCUCUAUUCCUCGUUCAGGAGAUGUUCAUCGAUCUCUUUGGAGACUUGGACACAGAAAUCAAGGAAGGUCUCAGGGUGAGCCACUUUGUCGUCAAUUUUCUCAUACUCGACGUGCCAGUGCACC